UGGAACAAGUUGCCCAGAGAUGCCCUAUCCCUGAAAACAUUCAAGUUCAGACUGGAUGGGGCUCUGAGCAACCUGACCUAAUUGAAGAUGCUCCUGCUCAUUACAGGAGGGGUUGGAUUAGAUGAUCUUUAGUAGCCCCUUCCAACCCAAGGUACUGUAUGAUUCUGUGACUCUGUGAUGGGGGUAAAUGGUUAUUACGAUGGCUGCAGAGAUACUCUGCUGUAGGUUAUGUCAGAGUAACCCUUAUGAGGUCAGGGCAGGCACGAGGAGUGCGCUUGGCUGCUUGUUGCCAAGGCAGUCAGCAACCACGUUCAUGCGAUUGAAUUUUAAAAAAAAACCCUUUUCCCCCCCCUAAGCAUUAAUGUUAAUGCAAAUUAACUUUCAACUGCAUGACAGUUUUAUUCUGGGUUGGCUUUGCUGAUUGUUUCUGUGGGUUGGCUUUGCCUAACUUAUUCCUAACUGUUGGUACAAACGAUCUUUUCAUCUGCGACACAUAAGAGAUUUUAAUUCAAUGUACUCUUCUGAAAGCCAAGGAAAUAAGGGCAGGCUUCUAAUAGCUUUAUUUUUUUCUACCAGAUCUUUUAAUCUCUUUAUUUAGGCACUUGAUUCAAAUAGGAAGAGGCUUUUCUAUUAAAAAAGGCAGCUUAUAUAAAACAUAAGGGUUAUAAUUGCAGCUAUACUGUCAGAUGUAGAGCUAGAUUUAAAAUUUCCUGAUUUACUAGUAUAAAUUGGACUAAAGGAUGCUUCUGACUAAAAAUAGAGCCAUUUUUCUUAAAUAAUCAAUUUUUUUUCAUAUAAUGUAAAAUGUCUAUAAAGCAUGCCUUAAAUGUAUUAGUGGCAAAUAUUAACAGACACUUAAGUUUUCCUGUAUGUCACUGUAAUCCACUUCAAGCAGAUGAUGGUACUAUUUAUUUCUGCAUGUUUUGUCUUUUUUUCUUAAUUUGCAAUUCUGUAAGUUGCAGAACUUGGGGUUUUUUUUUGAAACUGAAGACAUUGGGAGAUAUAAACUGCUUCUGACACAAAUUUGAAUGGUGACCUUGUAACCACAGGGUCAUAGGCACAAGAGUGUGGAAGGGACUCCUUUCUUGUCUCAGAGCUACUUUCCUUUGGCCUUGUUUCAUUCUUCACAUGUUAAUCUAACUUUAUUUCAAAACUUCCCCUCCCAUUUUCACAUCUUCAUUUUUCAAAACAGUAGCUGCCCUGAGGUUUCUAUCACGAAGAGUGUGGAGGAUGGUUAUUAUGAACUCUGUGCCUCAUGUUCCACGUCUGUCAUAUGAAUGUGUCAGGCUUAAUCUUUAUUAAUUCCUGAGGGAAAACUGAAGACUAGAGCUAAUAAGGUAUUUGUAUGGUAAUUGUUUCUUUUGGGACGUGGUUUCUGAGAAUUCAUAACAAACUGAAAAGAGUUGCACAAGUAUGAAAUUUAUUUAGAAAUAAGCUGUUUAAACAGCACAACAAAAUUAGAAAAUUCAUGGGGGAAAAAAAAUAUAUUGGAGAUUAUUAAAUGCUCAGGCACCCUCUCAAACAUAAGAACUCCCUCAGCACAAGUCACUGGAGGCCACAAGGGUAUUCUGAGGAGUUAUCGUGGUGUGCUUCUCCUGUCCUUACACUUUUCCCUACAUAUUCAACACUAGAUAAAUUAAAUUUUUGCAUGACUCACUGGGGCUCUUGCAUUUUUGCCAAGAUUAGGCUAAAAGCCAGAGAAGGGAAAGUGAUAUAACACAGUGACAUCACUGAACUGAAGGGUAAGAGAGGAAAGAGAUGGUGUGCCAGGAGCCACUUUGGUGAUGUGUUCUGCAUGCAGUGUGCUGUUCAAGUGGAUGUGUAAUUAGCAGUGUACAGGGAGAGGGGAGUCACAUUCAAGGACCCGAGCAUAUCAAAGUAGACACUCAAACCAGACAACUGGAGAGGAUGUUCAGAAGCCAUGCAAUGUACCAACUUCAAAAAAUUAUGAUGUACCAGGCAGAUCUCAUUAUAUCUUGUUGGGUUGUUUUCUUUUUUCUCUUUAGCAGGUGGGAGAGGGCAAGGAGUUUGUGGGUUUUAUUUUAGUUCUGUAAUCAAGUUUAAAGUAGAUUUCACUGGCUUAUCCCCAGCACACUUUGCCUGGUGACAUGACUGUCUGCUAGUACUCAGCCAGAUGCAAGGUGUUUUGUUCCACUGGAAGUUACAGUGUAUUCCUGAGACAGCCGCCAUCCAAAAUACAUUCAGAGAAGUCAGGGUAUGUUGUUUCAUCAUGCUACAAAGGCUGGUUUCAGUCUGCUAGGGCAGGAUCUCCUGCACAAAAUAACACACCUUUGGCAAAGGGUAAAGGAAAAAAGUGUGUGUGGUUUCAGAAGGAUCUCACAAGAAACAAGCAGUCUGCAAGGACGAGAUUUGAGAGUUCAAAGUCAAACACAACAUAUUAUUUCCAAACAGUUGUUCCAGAUUUGCAGGCACCUUAGGUGUCCUGCUGUGGUGUCCAGAUUCCCUGGCAAGAAUUCAAGGUUUUUCUUGUUUGUGACAGGAAUGACUUCAUGUCUUGCACACUGAGAGUGUUAAUUUAGCAUAUAAAUAUUUCCCUACCUGGUGUGGUUUCUGCUGCUUUCUGAGAAGCAGCAGAGAUUAAAAAUACCGCAUACCUUGUUGCUUGGUGUUUUUGUAUCCAAUAUUUUUGCUCUUUUCCUGAUGCCUCACUGUGACCUGGCUGAAGGCUGAGUCAGUCUGUUGGUGACUGGCUACCGAGGGCUACAACCUUCUGUCAUAUUUUCAUUUUGGAGGAUCCUGGUUUCCUGCCUAAAGCAUCGGGUGCUGGGCUAAAGUCAUUAACUCUAGAGAGUACCUGAUGCAGGACAGCCAUCAGAAUUUGGAGGGAGGGGGAGAGCGUGUGUAGUGCAGAAGCUGAGAUCUGAGGUUUUGGGAAAUAGGAGGAGAACUGGAGCACUCUGGCUUGCUGGGGGAACUGUUCCCAGGUGGACACGGGGGGGUCUGUGUGCACUCUCUGCACUCAGCUGUUGCCAUCCCCCUCCAUGUGCCAAGUGGUGAGGCUGGAGAAGCCUUGUGGAGUCUCCCUAGGGUAGGGCUCGGUGCUGUUGCCCUCACCAGUGAGACAACUAUCUCCUCCCUAAAUUGAGUUUUAGACCUCCUGUGCACAGGCAUCUGUUCAGGGGCCACUGAAUUAUGCAGAAGGGUUUUUUCCUUUAUACUGUGGUUUUAUUUUCCCAUACAUAUUCCCACACUGACGGUUCUGUUUUCCCAGUAUGUCUGACUUGUGCCUUCUCAGCACCUCUGCAGGAACAAGAGCGGCAGCUAAACACGUGAUUAAUUGCCUCACUUAAAAUCUGUUUAAAAUUCUUAGGUAAUUGAUGUCUGAUAGAUUGUUUUUUCUCGUCUGCUCAAGCUAAAUUAGGCUAACACCAGCCAGAGGUGGCUGGUGAGUUAUUCUUCCAGUCCUGGGAAAGUUUGUGUUGGCAGAAUAUUCAACAACAACCAUCACCAAAUCCCGUGCUUCAGAAAGGGGCCAUUUCUCAGGUAAGGAAGAAAAAGGAGGGCUUAUUGUGAUGAAUGGUCCUUCAGAGCACUUACUUGGGCUUCUGACAGUAUAAUUCUGAAUAAUGGUGUUCCCUCUGAUUCUCAUCUCAUUCUUGUGCUUGGGAGCAUUCCCUUAGUUUAUGGUUUCCUUUUUACAUUUGUUUGUCUUUAAAAUCAUCACUCAAGAUGAUCAUUGCAAUACAGCAGUUGGCUUAAAUCCCCCAUCUUUUUCAAAUGCUUGUCAUGAGUACUAAAAAACUAAUGCUGCUCAUUAGUGCUGUUCAUCAAGUUCUGGAUUUUUUUUCCCAACUUAACUACAGGCAAGUCUCAGAUUUGGAACAUAUUAGAGAUCUCUUUAAAAUCUUAUCUAUAACUGACAUAAUUAUCUGCUCAGACAAGUUGUGGUAAAAGACCAAUCCCUAAGAAUCUCAGCCAUUACACUCUUAUUUUUAAGUUAAAUCAUGGAAUGGUCCCUAAACCCACACCCUUUCAUUUUUUUAGGUCUUUCUCAAAAAAAAAAUGUAGAGCUGCUGUGUAUUCAAAGGAGUAGAAUUUAAGCACCUGUUUUUAUUUAAGCCACAGUAACCAUCAGCUCCUUAGUAACUAGGGGUGUGUCUGCUAAGAACAAUCUGUCACCUGUCACUCGGUUUUUAAGUGACUGAUUUCACAUCCAGAGCUAAGACAGAUAAUUGACAAAUCAUGCAGACUUCAGCUGAAGAAAGUGCUAAUUUUUUUUUCUUGAAUAUUACCCACAGAAGUGCUGCUUUUUCAGUUAAUUUCACAUUCUUAGACAAUUUCAAUAUGUAGCUACAAAGAAUGGCAUGUGCAUUGACUGUAGCUUAUUUGUAAAUCUCUAUCAGAUACAAGUAGUCCAGAGUCUGCAGAUUUAUAUAAGCGUUGGUUAAAUGUGAUUUUUUCAUAAUUAAACCAGCUAGGUUUCUGAAAAGUUUCCAGAAUAUCUUUUAACACAUAUUCAGUGAUAUUUUAGCAAAACACUAACCUCCCAAAGUCUUAAAGCUUACUGAUAAUUUCAAAUUUAUUAAGUUUGUUAGUAUAAUUUUUGAGGAAAAAACAAAGAGAAACUUGAAAAUGGCUCUGUAGGCAACAGCCACAGAUGGGAAAAUUUGAUAAAGGUUAGAGAGGUCAGAGGUGAAGCUGGUGGCUUCUGCCCUGAAGGGUUUGAAGGAAUCUUCUCAGCAAGGAAACUUCCUUCUGCUCCUGCAUGAUUAAUAUCUGUCUCUGCCCCAGUUUACUGACCAAUGGAAGGAACUUCCAUCUGCGGGAAAAUUCUGCUAGCUCCUGUAAGUGAAGUUCUCACAUACAUAUUGCCCUCAGACAGAGCAACCAAAUGCAUGAGCCAGUUAAAAAAACAAAACAAAAAACCAAAUCUGUACUGUUUUAUCACUGAUCAGAAUACACAGACUUCAUAUAUGUCAUUUGCUGGACUCACCUGCAGCAGUUCUAGGUGUGUAUCUGCCAGCCCUGGUUUCUUCUCUCAGCGCUGAGGAUGCUCAAGUCUCAGUGCUGUGGCACAGCAGCAGGGAGCUGAAGCCACAAUGCCUUGGUUUGUGAGACAAAGCUACAGAGAAAAUGUUCAGUGACACUAUCAGAAGGCCCCUCUGUUGUGACCUGAGAUAGAAUUCAGCUAUCACUGUGUGAUCAAAUUGCAUUUGUCAGAUUCUCAGGUAACAAUUUGCACAGGGCUGAUUUUCCUGUACUUGUGUGUCGCUGUGGGAAAGGAAAAUUGGGAACCAACUUUGAAACUUACAGUCUCCACUCCUGUCACAACUGUGAGUCAAGAAAAUUCUACACUGGUUUGAAACUUGAUGUGUUUGGCUGAAUAAAGAAGGACCAGUUGAACAAUCUGGAAGCCAGAUGUGAGCAUUCAUUCCCUGAUCUUAGAGUCUGACUGUCUUAGGGGCAGCCUUAGGGUUUGAGAGCAGAGGGAGGUACGGACUGGCAUCCCUGAGCUGGCAGGGUUUCUGUCUCUGCUGGGAUGAGUCACCCAGGGUACUGAGCUGAACUGUCUGCUUCUGUUCUCCACCUUUUAUCACACUGCUGUCCAAGGCUGUUUUGUUAGAACAGAAAAGGAGUUAAAACUGACAACACCACUCUCUAAAUUACAUUGUAAGACAGAAUAAAGUUUUUGAAAACAAGUCUAUCCUUUACUCACUGGGUUCUUACAAGGCAGACAGUCUUUCCUCUACAGUUUCCUUGAGCUCCUCUCUUCUGUCCAGGCUCUUGCCUUGUCUUCUGAACAUUGCCUUAUCUUCUGACCGAACUUCCUCCUUAGUCUUAGUUGGAUACAAAACCUGGCUCCUCUGUGUGGGACCUAUGGGACCCGUCCCCUGACUCUGUUCUGGCCCACUUAGACAACACCCUGUCUCUAUGCUUUUCCUAGAAGCUCCUGAGUGUUAAGCCAUGGCUGGACCAGCUGGAGCACAGAGCCAAGCACUUUGCAAACUCAUCAGGAAAACUGAGCUGUUCUCUCAGGGAACGCUGCCCACGUGGGUGAGAGGUGUUCAGAGGAGGUGGAGAGCUUUGAGAUAAAUUGCUCAUCCAGGAAAAAAGGCAGUAGGCUGGAAAGCUGAUUCCCUCACAUCAGCCUCUACCCUCUCUGGCAAGGCUCCAAGGAACAUCUGAGCCUUUUCUGACAUGAGCUGGGAGGAAGGUUCUGAAGCAAAUCUGAGAAAGGCUACAUGAUGGCAAGCUUACUCAAUCCUGAAAACUCCAUCCAUGCCAUCCUUUCAGGAGGACCCAUAUUGACCACCAGCCACACUGGGACCGGAACAGAGCUCCACAAGGGGUGCCUUUGAAAACCCCACACUUCUACCCCACAGCUGCCUGGGGCAGCAGACAGGGUAUGCUUCUGGAUGCACAUAUCAUGGAUGUGGGAAAGGCUUCUCUCAUCCACGAUGGCUUGUACCCCUUCUUAACUCUCCUCCCAUGCUGUCAUGAGCCCCAGCAGGAACAGUUCAGCAACACAGUCACGGCUUCCUGAAGUUCUGUAUCUGGGUGCCUUGUUUCAGGCUGUGUAAAAGUGAAAUGGGACAGAGAGGUAAAAACAGCUCCCUAAGGAGAAAUCAUGAGUUAAAGGCAAUGAACAACAGCUCCUGCAGGGCACACAUGAAGCCCCUCCUUCACCUUCACUUUGUCCAGGAGACACUACCAGGGAUUUCUCUCCUUUCACACUAACACACGGUCUGGAAACAGCACAGCAGGUGCAGCAGGCUUGGUGCUUUGAGGAUUCCAAAACCAACAACUUUCAAAAGACCAGGAGAACUGCUGAUCACCCAUCUGAAACCUGCAGAAGGAUCAGUGUUCCCUUAGUCCUAUGAGUCCCAUGCUGCUGCUCAGAGAUGGAUGGGGUGUAGAGUUACUCUGGUAUGAGCAAUGUCUCUCUCUAUGGAGACCCAGAGAUAAAUGUAGCCUCUGUCAUGCCUAAAGCAAGCUAAAACUAUUCCAGUGAAGGAUCUUGCAUUUCUUUAUGGCUAGAUCCUGGUUUAGUUGUUUAUAUGCUAAUUUUAAUGGACCAGAUAAUGUGAAAAAUACAGGAUCAUUACUCCAGCCUAGCAGGAAUGGGAGCUGCCAGUGGAGCACAGCUGCUCUUCCAAAGAACUGCCAUGGCUUCCCUGACAAGUUAUUACAUUGACAAGUUUCAAGUUUUUUAUGAUCUGAUUUAGAUCAAACCACAAGAUUUCAGAACAAUUCAGGAACUGUCUAGUAGUUAUUUCCAUUGCACUGCAUGAAGCACUGAGAAAGAAUGCAUUCAUUCUGGGGGUGGGGUUGAUAGGACUAAGGUGCUACAGCCAUGAAAAACCUCUGCCUGUUGUGGAGCUGUUCCAAUGACAAAUUUGUCAUAUAGUUCUGCAUGGCUAAAGAAACUUUUAGAAAAUAAAAUUUCAUUUGGAACAUAUAUCUUUUCUUCAAGAGCAGCUCCAUUAAAUGCAGCCACUCACCCACUAGCAAACAAUGCAGUAGAUACUUUUGUGAAUUGCUCACCUUCCUGGAAGCUGAUCAGCACUCCUGGCCACUGGAUGCCAGAAGUGAGUUCAUCUGGAACUCACAUUAGUUUUAACUGAUGAACUAUUGUCAAGUUUCCUUUCAAUAGGUUACAAGUUGCUGAAACUCUCUUGCAGGUUUGCUGGUGAGGAAAACUCAGAAAAGGGAACACAUCUGCAUCUGGGCAGCUUCUCCAACAAGUCAGGCUCUAGCCAAUGUUCUUUAGCAGUGCACAUGGACAUGUCCUGCUCAGCAUGCACAACAUGGCAAAACAUACCCCCUUCCCAGCUAUGGGGAGAGAUGGGUAGGGACAACACCAGCUCGGACAGCCACAGGACAGCAUUCCCAUUUACCACUGCCCUCAACUUGCAGAGAAAUCUCUCUGCUGUUAAAACACACGCACUCAUCUGCCCUUUGCAAAUUACAGCACCAACACCUUUCAGUGCUGUCAAAGCAUGUCCUCAAGGGCUGCUGCCAACUAUGUGCCAGAGCCUGGGAUGUUUGGGGAAGAUGUCUCACACAAACCAAAUUUCAGCACCUGAUGCUCAUGUCAGCCUAAAGCUUAACUACAGGAAAAUCUUGGAUAGUCUCACUGUCCUUCAAAACCAUUGCUCAAAACCAAACAUCAACUUGGGUGGCACUUACAAAACAAGCUGUAGGUACAAGUAACACACAGAGCCAACUUUUUUUUUUUAUAAAAGUAUUUUUAAUAAACUGAUGGAUUUAAGUUUAAGAUGCUAGACAACUUGUUGCCAUGUACAGGUAACAAAAGUCAAAAUUCUUUGAAUUUUAUACAAAUACUAUGUAGUAAACUUGAAUGCAAGUUUACAAAAAAUGCAUCAGUGGAUAUUCAGCUUGUAACCAACUUCCAACAGUGAAAAUUAUCAUCUAUCAAUAGUGAUCAGAAUUGCAUUGCAAAUUUUAGAAGUAAUGCAACUAUGUUUUGUUUUUUUUUACCAAGCCACUCUGAAGUUACUGGUGCACGCUGACAGUACAUUGGAUUUUUUUGGCUUGCUGAACAGAAAAUGGCGUUUAAAUAAAAUGACUAAGUGAAACAAUGUAAUACAUAUCAAAAGUACUAUCCCACAGAAAAUUAAGAAAGAACGAGAAAGCAAACAGAGCAGAACCCUGAAGUGGUGAUAUUUUUCUACCCGUUUUGAUGGAAAUGAUUCCACAGGUGUCCAGCUUUCUCACAGCAUUUUGAAGUGUUCUAGUCCUAGCACAGUGUGGUCAUUAGUAGACUAAAGUAAUCCCUGCUUGGCAGUAAUGCUGGUGAAAGGUAACUUGCUCUAUUGCUAACAAAUCAGAGUAACCACUGGCAGGGUGACUUCUUGCAGGCAUCCAGCAGAGGCUGAGUUGACAGCACAUGAUUGAAGUUACAGCACUGCUCGCUUUGAUACAAUACCCAACAGCCUUCAGGGUUCAGGUGUCAGUUUCCUCACAGGAUUUACAAAUGGAUGGUUUCAAAACAAACAAAAAAAAGUCCUUAUGGAGCAUAAGACAGUAUUUUCACCUGUACAGCUACCAAUAAAGUGAAUGUUUUUGUUACAAACUUUCCAGUCUGCUUUAUAAAAAAUAGUCUUAGUUUUACUUCUAAAUAAAAACUGUGCUGUGAUCUGUCACGUUCUUGCAUUGUACAUGCUGUAAUUGUGUGUGUUAAUGAAGGUGUAGAGAUUUGUGACCUAGCGCUCUGGAUGUAUCAGAAGCCUAAAAAGCUGAUUUUGGUACAUAAAAGGUAGCAAUGAAAAUUCAGUCCAUUUAUUUUUCCUAAAGCAUAGGAAAAGCUACAGUACUUUGCUAGAUCAGUGGCCUCAACCCUGAGCUGAAAUAAAGGACCUGCCCUGGCCAAGAGACUUAGUCACAUUACUACCACAGCUGCAUAGCAGAGACAAAAUAACCUGUCUGCAGCCUGUUAUGUGAGCUGUGAGUAGUGCGAAAUUCAGUUCUGUAAUGCUUGAGAGUUGACUGGAGACCACCAUAUUCAUUUUCACUACAGGGAAAAGAAGGAAAGGAGAACUCAAAUUCAGAGUGGAAAGCACUCAACAGGGAGGGUCAGUAUACCCAGCUUCUGGAUAUCAAACAGAGAAUGAAGUUAGUGUCAGACUCACCAGGUCUUAAGCGUUUCCCACUUGGCAGAAGAGAUUAUUAAAACACGUACCAAAAUACAGUUAGGGAGACUUUUACUACUAUCUCUUUCCAGAAAGAGAUUUACUACUAUUUCUUUCCAGAAAGAGUCUCACUUGAUUUCCCCCUCACUACAACUGAAUGUAUCUCUCUCUGUACUACACUGCAUCACAAAAGAUAAGUGAAAACCUAAAGUCUGUCUGAUGAAGAAUUCAAACCAGGUGGCAGCAGAAAAACUUCCACUUGUUUCUAACACAAGUUGGAGCUGGCAACAGUAAGAAUUCUUAUGAUGAUACAACUACUGCACCUUCCCAUAGGGUUCAAUGGCACCACUACCCAUGGCCAGGAGCAUUCAUAAUAUGAAGCUUUUUGCCUCCCAAGAGGACUUUUUUUUUUGCUUUUAAACAGCAGAAACUGCAGAGUCAGUAUUUCAUUCAACAGAAAAACUAAACCCAGCAAAAGACUGUAAAUAAAGCUCAUAAGAAUAAUUCAUAUUUCUAGUAAUGCACACUUCUUAGUGAGCUGACCAGUUUAGGGAUGGUAUAUUUUUUGUUAGUUUAAGGCAGCAAGUCUUACAAAAUACUCAAGCUCACCUCCCUCAUGUUUGUGCUACUGUAGCCUUAUGUGCACAAUAGAACCUCACUAAUUUACACUAAUGAUUGGAAGAACAAUUAAUUCUCUUGCUAAAUGAACAAGAAUAAGGCAUUCAAUUAUAUAUUCUGAUCACUAAUUAUAAUUUAGCUCUAAUUAUAAUCUACCAGCAAACAUACUUCUGUGUUUUAGAAAAUAGUAUCUCUUACUUUCAGAUAUAAUUAUGUGUGCAGAUUAGUGGGUUCUGCUGUGUAAACACGCAGGUGCAUAAGCAAUUUUCAGGUUUUUCUUCAUUACAUCUGGUAAGAAAGUUAAUGCCACAGAUAGAGACUAUGGGAAAAUAAAUUAGGAUUUCUCUAUCAUUUGUGCGGACAUGCACAACUGGGCAGUAAUUUAUAGCUCAAAAAAAGAAGGACACAAAUGUUUACAAACUCAUAUGAAGCAAAAUCAGCAGCAGGAAGCAAAGGCCAUUCCCCAACCAUAAAUGGCUUGUUUUACAUGAUUCCAAACUAUAUGAAACAAACAAACAAAAAAGAAAUACAAGUACUAACUUGUAUAUACAAGUUGGACAUCAAGUAAAGCAAAGAAGUGAAGCAUUUGUUGAUGCUUCUAGCAAAUGAUAUUCACAUGUUUAAAUCCUGAAGUAAACUGCAAGUAAAGACACAAGACAGGAUGAAAACUACAUGGCUGAAUUGAAAAAAAAAAA